UUAUUUGUUUAUUUGUUUAUUUGUUUAUUUGUUUGUUUGUUUGUUUGUUUGUUUGUUCGUUCGUUCGUUCGUUCGUUCGUUCGUUCGUUCGUUCGUUCGUUCGUUCGUUCGUUCGUUCUUAGAUCAAUGUCCCUGCAUUUUGGUAACAUUUUUUCGAAUGGUAACCUUUGUUUCAGGAUUUGAUAGAUCUCUUCGGAGAAAAAGUAUAUUGUACUAAAUAUGGUCUGUUCUGAACAUAUUUAAGUCGCAAAGCAUUGGAGUAAAUAUGCCAUAACAUUUUCAAACAAAGACAGCGCAAAUGGUACAAAAAGGAAUUUGGUCUGAGAAACGCUCAAUUUUUUGUCUUUUUUCACCGGACUCAGCAAGGCAGUGAAGUCGCAAUCAACCUCGUCUCUUCUGUCAUACCCGCAAGUAUUCAUAGCGAAUAAUUGUUGAAGCUAGGAAGCAAAAUAUUUUGAAAUGUUCCUGUUAUACUUUUACUCAGCUUGCAACUCUAGACAAGUGCUUAUUUGAAAUGUUGGAAAAAAACAAAAUGUGCAAAAGUUUCUAAAAUUGCCAGGUUUUAAUCAACUCAGUUUAUAUUUGGCACAAAGUUGCGUCAGAGAGUUACAUUUGUUAACAUGAUUUUUCCGGAAUUUUUCAUUAAACAGUUUUCCCGAAAUUUACAAUUUUCAUGAAAAAUUGCAUGUUACAACAAGGAAAUUUUCCUUUUUGUAACAUAAAAUAAUCCUUUUUCUAAGAUAAAAGUUUUUCUUUCCAGAAUUGACAGUUCCAAAGGAUCUAGUUUAGACUUAUACAUGAACUAAUAAUGUGCGGCCAAGCAAAAAUGCCACAAUUUACCUAAAAAAGCUACUUUGUGAUCAGAAAUAUUAUUCAGCUGGUUUGGCUUUUUUUCAUGAUAUGUUUGCGUAUAAUAUUUUAACUCUAUUAAAAUCCAAUUAGUAACUUUAAAUGCAUAUAAAAAUAGUGCCACUGAAAUGCAAGACAAACUGGGGAAUUUUUCUCCGAUUUUUAAAAUACGGCAUUUUCAGGUGUCUGUACGUUUUAGAAUAGCCCCAAAGUACUUGCCUAUGUUGCCCCACCAAGUACCGAGAGAGAAACUGGGCCGAGUCACGAGUUCAGAGACAAAGCUCAGCUCUGCUAGUCUGUUGUUUGUAAAUUACAAAAGAAGAAAGUCGCCGUCGUUUUAUAUCUAUUUACUAAAUAUCUGGAUCGAUUGUGGAUUUGUAGUCCUGGUUGAGGUAAGUUUGGUAUUAUUUUUUUAUAUUAAAAUUAUGUGUUCCUUGAUUAACACGGGACAUUUCAUAUUAAUCAUAGAAAUAAUAAAUUACCAGCUCAUCUGCACUACGGUUUUUUUAAUACAUUUCUUGUGCUACACUACUCGAAACACUACCAAAAUGGUUAUAUUGGCAGUAAAAACAGUGCCAAACUCACUGCUUUUUCUUACUGCUACCAAAACUCGUUGUUUUUCAUUCAAAACUCGUUGUUUUUGCCAUCAAACUCAUUGUUUUUGCUAUUAAACCCAUUGCUUUUGCUACCAAACUCACUUUUUUGCUAUUGAAAAAAAUGUUUUUGCCAUCAAAGUCACACUUUUUGCCACCAAACUCACUGUUUUUCCUACCAAACUGGUCGUUUUCUGCAUUCAAAACGCACAUUUGUUUUUGCUACCAAACUCUUUUUUUACAUUCAAAACUCAUUGCUUUUUGCUAUCAAACUCAUUGUUUUUGCUAAAAUAUACAGAGCCAAAACACAUCUGCCUUCCCGGGGUGGUGAGAAAAUCCCCCAGGGUUGCCGGAAACAAAUUAUGUGAGCACGAGCUAAACAUCUAUAUUGCAGGUUUGAAACAAUAGAACUAUAACAAAAAGCGAAAACAUAAAACCGACUAGAGCAUAUAUAUAGAAUUAGAUUACUGUACCUUGUUAACUAUUUAUAUGGUUUCAUGCAAAAUUGAAUCAUGGUACAUCAUAAGGCUAGCUUAUCAAUCCCAAAUGUACAUACACUAUUCACAGGAUGCAUGGACAGACUACAGUCUACUGUACUAAUUAACCCAUCAAGUGACAGCACUCUCCCCUUCAUGAGUAAAAUCAUCCGGCAUUAGACAGAGAAAAAUAAAAAGAGGGCAAACAAGGCCAUGUUGCCCCUUACAGAUAGGAUUUUGGCAGGAUGAAUGGUCAGUUAGUCUGAUUAACCCAUUAAGUGUCAGCCGUCUCCCCAUGACAAGCAAAAUUGUCUGGCAUUAUUCAGAGUAAAAUAAUAAAGUUGGGAACAACAUGCUGUCAGCUAGCGGGUUAACAGGAUACAUGGGCAGAUGCGGCACCAGGCCGCAUUGCCACCAAAAUGGUUUUGACAAGAUACUUGGGUAAUGUAAUGUAAAACUUUAUUUCAAGAGGGUAAAACACUGUACAGUCAUAGACCGAUAAACUAGUACUACUGGCCUCAAAUGGGUGCACACUCUGAUUAACCUAUUAUGUGGCAACACUCUCCCCUUGAUGAGUAAAUUCAUCUGCCAUUAGGGUAAAAUAACAAAGUAGGCCGCACUAGGACGCAUUGCCACUAAAAUGGUUUUAACAGAGUGCACAGGCGGACACUAUGAUUAAUUAACCUAUUAAGUGGCAGCACUCUCUCAGGACUUGAUGAGUAAAGUCAUCUGGGUUUAGACAGAGUAAAAUAUUUGGUUGGUUCCAUAGAUAUCUUAUAUACACUAGAUAGCAUAUCUCUUUUAGUAAAAUUGAAGCCAACAAUAUUCCAGCGGUUACCCCCAUUUGAAUAGAUGGCGGCCAUGUUGGUCGUUCCCACUUGCUAAUAAACGCUUACAAACAACAAUAAUUUUCUUCAUUUGAAUAUUUUAAAAACGAAUUUGGAAUAGGGUUAACUUAAUGUUUAAGUUCCCUGUUUAAGAAAUAGAAAACAUACGAAUCUUCUAAUUUCAUGGGAACGACCUGAGACUGCAAUCACGGCUUCAAUUUUUGAAUUUCAGAAUAAUUAGAUGCACUAUCUAGUGUAUAUAAGAUAUCUAUGGUUGGUUCAUAGUUAAUCCAAUACUUCAGAGCUAAAUUCCCAUUUGUCAACAAUUUGUUGGAAAUAAUUACAGCUUUCAAAUGCCACAAUAUACAGUAUACAGUAUAUAUACAGUAUGGUACAGUACAGUAAACUUUUGAAUAUUUCGAUUAAUACCAAGACAAAUAUUGGCCUGAAAUAAACCUGGAUACAGAAACAAAACUCGAGAACAUAGAAUGACAACAGAAGUCUAAUUUAAUCCAUUAAAUUAAAGCGCAAGACUCUCCACGGAAAAUUGUCUGGCAUUAGGCAAAGUAAAACAAUAAAGUUGGGUGUAUUGCAGCUUAAUUAAUGGAUCAAUUGCAUGUCAGGCUUGUUCCUGCUAUAGUAAUUGUUGUGGUCAUAUAUUAUACUAUAAAAUAUAUUUACUGUACAUACUGUAUAUUUAUAAUUUUGAAAACGGCUGAGUUUUUCGACACAUACCAGCCCGGCUCCUAUCCAUCAUAAAAAAGACUUACACAGACGUUGUUAGUGCUCUAGGCUAACGUCUGCUCACAUUCGCCACACAUUUGACUUCCAGGCAAUUAACCAAUCACAAUCAUCUACACGAUAAUUGAAAGAUCGACCUUCAAUGACCUUCACAUGCAUGGGCUAUUAUCAACAAGUCUGUAGUAUUUUUAAAUUUAAAAGUUUUAAAUACUCCGCACCAGAAAAAAGGCUUUUCAUUCUAUUAUAAACAAAAAGAAGGAUGUUUUUGUAAAUCUCACAACUGGUGCAGGAAAUCACUUAUUUAUCACGCCGUUACCGAAGCUAUUCGAUGUAAUAUUCACAUAUAAAUAUUUAAACAAAUUGUAAACAUUGUAAAUAUUUAGUAUUAAAUUAUGGUUUUGCCAUUUAUAAAUUCAAUGGGAGAUCAAGUAAAAAAAAACUACACGAUCUAGGAGUCAGUGCUGUGUCAUUAUUAAGUGGAAUCGAGAGCGAUAAAAAAGCAAAGGCAUUGGAAGAAGGGAAAUAUUUUGUAUUAUAUGGCACAGCAGAGUCAUUGUUGAAGACAAAGUGUAUGGCAUGAUGCAUGAAGCUCAUGUCAGUAUGUACUAUAAUAAAUCCUAAACAUGUGUUCGCAUUUGUAAUUCUCAAAGUCACAGGAAUCGAUUGGCUUUGACCAGUUUAACAGUCGUUAUUUUAUAUUGUCUUGAAUUUUUCUUUUUAUAUGUUGCCUCGUAUUAUCGGCUAUUGCAUGUAAUAUGAGCCAUUCUAGUUAAUAUACAUACCUCAACCCUCUGAUGUAAACCCUUCAUAAUUGAAAUGCUCAUAUAAACUUGCAUGCUAGUACUACAUGCAAUAGAUAAUACAAGGCAAUGUGUAAAAAGACAAAUUCAAUUUAAUAAACAAUAUAAAAUAUUAACAACUAUUAAAAUGGCCACAAAAGCGAACACAUUUUUAGGAUUGAUUAUACUACAUACCAUCCUUUAAUCAUAUAAGCUUCAUGCAUCAAUAACCAAAGCAGACAAAGCACAAACCAUUUUGCUAUACACUUUGUUGUAAAUGUUUACAUGUUAAUACAAUUUGUUCAAAUAUUUAAAUCCGAAUAUUACAUCGAAUAGCUUCGGUAACAGCGUGAUAAAUAAGUGAUUUCCAGCGUCAGUUAAUUGUGAGAUUGUCAAAAACAUCCUUUUCGUUUAUGAUAAAAUGUAAAGCCUUUUUCUGAUGCGCAGUAUUCUAAAACUUUCAAAUUUAAAAAUACUACAGACUUGUUGAUAAUAGCCCAUGUAUGUGAAGGUCAGUGAAGGUCGAUGUUUCAAUUAUUGUGUACAUGAUUGUGAUUGGUUAAUUGCCGGGAAGUCAAAUGGGUAGCGAAUGUGAGCAGACGUUAGGUGGGGCCUCAGCCACUAACAACAUCUGUGCAGGAGGCUAUCUAUUCAUAGACAUUUCUCAAUCAUAGAAUGACAAAAAAUAAUUAUAAAUUUCCUUAUUUUGCACGCAGUGUUUUAGUAUUGAUGCUCAGUACUGAACGGUAAAUUAUUUCUGUUCAAGUCAAUAUACAGUACUUGCUUUUGACAAUACCAUCAUGGUAGUAUUUCUCGCCACAUAUAAAGCCUUUUUAAUAUGCAGGCUAAGCCGGCAUAUUAUUUACCUGUCUUUUCCAUUUGAAGAAGGGAACUUUCUUACGAUACCUUUGUUUUGCUUUAUUAUAAAUCCACUCAUAAUUGUCCCACAUGACUAAAUCAGACAUUACCACAGACAUUUGUGCUUCACAUUGUGAUACCCACCAAACCAGAACAGGUAGCUGCCAUGAAGAAUUAGUAUUAUAUAACAGAGAAACAUUUUCUUGGGGCAUUUGGUUACAAUAUUGUUUUGUUUGACUACAAGAACAGUCUUUAGCUGCAAUUGAUAUUAAAUUCCCCAAAUACAGGUAUUACACAAUACACGACAACACGAGGGACAACAUCCUGCAACCCAAAUCAUCUUGCAAUUUCAACAUCUUCCGCUCGGUGAAGUAUGAAUAUUUCAGUUGCUUGCCGGACAAUCGGUCAUUGUAGAUCUGUACCACACUAUUUUCCAACAGGAAUGUAAAACAGUCCCUUAGCUGAAACAUUGGCACAACCAGAUGUCGAAAUAGUGGCAAGAAUGUUCCUGAACACCUACAAAUAUGUUGCAAUUAUCGCCAUUAGAACGUUUCAGUGUUCUCCAGUCUGUUUUUACCAAUAUAACCAUUCUUUUCCUCCCCUUGCAUAUCUUAGCUUUGUUUUAUAAGCCUUCCUUAUUUUUAGCUCACAAAAUCGCAUAAGAACCCAUUUUAAAGACUUCGAUCGAAUCGAAUUGUUUAUAUAAUAUUAUGUAUACGCCAUGAUCCUCGUGUAUUUGUAUAUAAAAGCAUCGCUUCUCCCGCCCGCACUUAACCUGAGUAUCAGGCUGUAUUUUACCUCUAUGAUUUUACAAAACCACAAAACUUUUAUUUAUUAAUAGGCCUGAUCGC